rnacentral:rRNA from 1 species
ACUCAAAUGAAUUGACGGGGGCCCGCACAAGCGGUGGAGCAUGUGGUUUAAUUCGAUGCAACGCGAAGAACCUUACCUACCCUUGACAUACAGUGAAUUUUCCAGAGAUGGAGAAGUGCCUUCGGGAACACUGAUACAGGUGCUGCAUGGCUGUCGUCAGCUCGUGUCGUGAGAUGUUGGGUUAAGUCCCGUAACGAGCGCAACCCUUAUUCUUAGUUACCAGCGCGUAAAGGCGGGGACUCUAAGGAGACUGCCGGUGACAAACCGGAGGAAGGCGGGGACGACGUCAAGUCAUCAUGGCCCUUACGGGUAGGGCUACACACGUGCUACAAUGGCCGGUACAGAGGGGAGCGAGAGCGAGAGUUUAAGCGAAUCUUAAAAAGCCGGUCGUAGUCCGGAUUGAAGUCUGCAACUCGACUUCAUGAAGUCGGAAUCGCUAGUAAUCGCGAAUCAGCAUGUCGCGGUGAAUACGUUCCCGGGCCUUGUACACACCGCCCGU